rnacentral:rRNA from 1 species
AUUGAACGCUAGCGGGAUGCCUUACACAUGCAAGUCGAACGGAGUGGCGAACGGGUGAGUAAUGUAUAGGAACGUGCCCAGUAGCGGGGGAUAACUAAGCGAAAGCGUAGCUAAUACAGCAUACUAUCGGAGCGGCCGAUAUCGGAUUAGCUAGUUGGUGGGGUAACGGCUCACCAAGGCGACGUACCGUAGCUGGUUUGAGAGUACGACCAGCCACGUUGGGACUGAGACAUGGCCCAGGCUCCUACUGGAGGCAGGAUUGGUGAAUAUUGUACAAUGGGGUCAACCCUGAUCCAGCCAUCCCGCGUGUGCGAUGAAGGCCUUCGGGUUGUAAAGCACUUUUAGCAGGAAAGCGGUACCUGCAGAAUAAGCACCGGCUAACUACGUGCCAGCAGCCGCGGUAAUAC